rnacentral:rRNA from 1 species
UGGGGAAUUUUGGACAAUGGGCGAAAGCCUGAUCCAGCAAUGCCGCGUGUGUGAAGAAGGCCUUCGGGUUGUAAAGCACUUUUGUCCGGAAAGAAAUCCUUGGCUCUAAUACAGUCGGGGGAUGACGGUACCGGAAGAAUAAGCACCGGCUAACUACGUGCCAGCAGCCGCGGUAAUACGUAGGGUGCAAGCGUUAAUCGGAAUUACUGGGCGUAAAGCGUGCGCAGGCGGUUUGCUAAGACCGAUGUGAAAUCCCCGGGCUCAACCUGGGAACUGCAUUGGUGACUGGCAGGCUAGAGUAUGGCAGAGGGGGGUAGAAUUCCACGUGUAGCAGUGAAAUGCGUAGAGAUGUGGAGGAAUACCGAUGGCGAAGGCAGCCCCCUGGGCCAAUACUGACGCUCAUGCACGAAAGCGUGGGGAGCAAACAGGAUUAGAUACCCUGGUAGUCCACGCCCUAAACGAUGUCAACUAGUUGUUGGGGAUUCAUUUCCUUAGUAACGUAGCUAACGCGUGAAGUUGACCGCCUGGGAAGUACGAUCGCAAGAUUAAAACUUAAAGGAAUUGACGGGGUCAUAGCUGUUUCCU